GCUAUACAUGCAAGUCGAGCGGACAGAAGGGAGCUUGCUCCCGGAUGUUAGCGGCGGACGGGUGAGUAACACGUGGGUAACCUGCCUGUAAGACUGGGAUAACUCCGGGAAACCGGAGCUAAUACCGGAUAGUUCCUUGAACCGCAUGGUUCAAGGAUGAAAGACGGUUUCGGCUGUCACUUACAGAUGGACCCGCGGCGCAUUAGCUAGUUGGUGGGGUAAUGGCUCACCAAGGCGACGAUGCGUAGCCGACCUGAGAGGGUGAUCGGCCACACUGGGACUGAGACACGGCCCAGACUCCUACGGGAGGCAGCAGUAGGGAAUCUUCCGCAAUGGACGAAAGUCUGACGGAGCAACGCCGCGUGAGUGAUGAAGGUUUUCGGAUCGUAAAGCUCUGUUGUUAGGGAAGAACAAGUGCGAGAGUAACUGCUCGCACCUUGACGGUACCUAACCAGAAAGCCACGGCUAACUACGUGCCAGCAGCCGCGGUAAUACGUAGGUGGCAAGCGUUGUCCGGAAUUAUUGGGCGUAAAGGGCUCGCAGGCGGUUUCUUAAGUCUGAUGUGAAAGCCCCCGGCUCAACCGGGGAGGGUCAUUGGAAACUGGGAAACUUGAGUGCAGAAGAGGAGAGUGGAAUUCCACGUGUAGCGGUGAAAUGCGUAGAGAUGUGGAGGAACACCAGUGGCGAAGGCGACUCUCUGGUCUGUAACUGACGCUGAGGAGCGAAAGCGUGGGGAGCGAACAGGAUUAGAUACCCUGGUAGUCCACGCCGUAAACGAUGAGUGCUAAGUGUUAGGGGGUUUCCGCCCCUUAGUGCUGCAGCUAACGCAUUAAGCACUCCGCCUGGGGAGUACGGUCGCAAGACUGAAACUCAAAGGAAUUGACGGGGGCCCGCACAAGCGGUGGAGCAUGUGGUUUAAUUUGAAGCAACGCGAAGAACCUUACCAGGUCUUGACAUCCUCUGACAACCCUAGAGAUAGGGCUUUCCCUUCGGGGACAGAGUGACAGGUGGUGCAUGGUUGUCGUCAGCUCGUGUCGUGAGAUGUUGGGUUAAGUCCCGCAACGAGCGCAACCCUUGAUCUUAGUUGCCAGCAUUCAGUUGGGCACUCUAAGGUGACUGCCGGUGACAAACCGGAGGAAGGUGGGGAUGACGUCAAAUCAUCAUGCCCCUUAUGACCUGGGCUACACACGUGCUACAAUGGACAGAACAAAGGGCUGCAAGACCGCAAGGUUUAGCCAAUCCCAUAAAUCUGUUCUCAGUUCGGAUCGCAGUCUGCAACUCGACUGCGUGAAGCUGGAAUCGCUAGUAAUCGCGGAUCAGCAUGCCGCGGUGAAUACGUUCCCGGGCCUUGUACACACCGCCCCUCACACCACGAGAGUUUGCAACACCCGAAGUCGGUGAGGUAACCUUUAUGGAGCCAGCCGCCGAAGGUGG
rnacentral:rRNA from 1 species